rnacentral:lncRNA from 1 species
GGAGAGGAAGAAACUGCCCAAUCAGAAAGAGAAGAAAGGAAGGAAAGGAGGAAAAGAGAAAAAGAAGGGAAAAACGGGUCAUCCCAUGACCCACGCGACCCGAAGAGAACCAUGGCCAAAUUUGGUUAUUUUCUCACAAAUCAAAGCAAACCACUACCUAGAAACUACUCCCUAGUCUUCCCUCUUCCAUAUCCACCUAAAAUUUGAAGGAAUUUGGGUGUAAAUUCAUCAAAGGGCCGACGGCAGGGCUAAGGGUUUGUGGUGGCCAUCCCUCAAAUUCUGAAACAAAACCGUCAAAUUACCACCACCAAAAUACUCCUCUGAAGCUUAGGCACAAAGCCAAAUAAUUUUGGGGGCAUCGGAGUGUUGGAAGUAUGCCCACAAAGCCACUCAUUUGAUGUAAUAGCUUUUUGGAAUACUUAUUGUAUU